rnacentral:rRNA from 1 species
UACAGAGGAGCCAAGCGUUGUCCGGAAUCACUGGGCGUAAAGCGCACGUAGGCGGAUUGCUAAGUCAGGGGUGAAAUCCUGGAGCUCAACUCCAGAACUGCCUUUGAUACUGGCGACCUUGAGUCCGGGAGAGGUGAGUGGAACUGCGAGUGUAGAGGUGAAAUUCGUAGAUAUUCGCAAGAACACCAGUGGCGAAGGCGGCUCACUGGCCCGGUACUGACGCUGAGGUGCGAAAGCGUGGGGAGCAAACAGG